rnacentral:rRNA from 1 species
UACGGGGGGGGCAAGCGUUGUUCGGAAUUACUGGGCGUAAAGGGCUCGUAGGUGGCCAACUAAGUCAGACGUGAAAUCCCUCGGCUUAACCGGGGAACUGCGUCUGAUACUGGAUGGCUUGAGAUUGGGAGAGGGAUGCGGAAUUCCAGGUGUAGCGGUGAAAUGCGUAGAUAUCUGGAGGAACACCGGUGGCGAAGGCGGCAUCCUGGACCAACACUGACUCUGAGGAGCGAAAGCCAGGGGAGCAAACGGG